GUUUGAUCAUGGCUCAGAUUGAACGCUGGCGGCAGGCCUAACACAUGCAAGUCGAGCGGCAGCACGGGUACUUGUACCUGGUGGCGAGCGGCGGACGGGUGAGUAAUGCCUAGGAAUCUGCCUGGUAGUGGGGGAUAACGCUCGGAAACGGACGCUAAUACCGCAUACGUCCUACGGGGGAAAGCAGGGGACCUUCGGGCCUUGCGCUAUCAGAUGAGCCUAGGUCGGAUUAGCUAGUUGGUGAGGUAAUGGCUCACCAAGGCGACGAUCCGUAACUGGUCUGAGAGGAUGAUCAGUCACACUGGAACUGAGACACGGUCCAGACUCCUACGGGAGGCAGCAGUGGGGAAUAUUGGACAAUGGGCGAAAGCCUGAUCCAGCCAUGCCGCGUGUGUGAAGAAGGUCUUCGGAUUGUAAAGCACUUUAAGUUGGGAGGAAGGGCAUUUACCUAAUACGUAAGUGUUUUGACGUUACCGACAGAAUAAGCACCGGCUAACUCUGUGCCAGCAGCCGCGGUAAUACAGAGGGUGCAAGCGUUAAUC
rnacentral:rRNA from 1 species